UACGUAGGGUGCAAGCGUUGUCCGGAAUUAUUGGGCGUAAAGAGCUCGUAGGCGGUUUGUUGCGUCGGCUGUGAAAUCCCGAGGCUCAACCUCGGGUCUGCAGUCGAUACGAGCAAACUAGAGUGUUGCAGGGGAGACUGGAAUUCCUGGUGUAGCGGUGAAAUGCGCAGAUAUCGGGAGGAACACCAGCGGCGAAGGCGGCACUCUGGGCUGGAACUGACGCUGAGACGCGAAAGCGUGGGGAGCGAACAGG
rnacentral:rRNA from 1 species